CUCCCAGUAGACGACUGGGUUGAUAGGCCAGAUGUGGAAGCCCGGUAACGGGUGGAGCUGACUGGUACUAAUAGGCCGAGGGCUUGUCCU
rnacentral:rRNA from 1 species